AGUUUUUAGUAGUAGAAGAUACUAUCUUGACAGAUCUUCUGGGACUCCAACUUCAUAAACUAGAAGAAGAAAUCCAUGGUAUAGUUGACAGAGCUGUGCUAGAGUUGGGUACUUGAAAUGUGAGAGAUGUCCAUCUUUUUCCACCUAUUUCCAUGGAAGAGUAUGUACAGAUUGCAGUCUUGAUGAAGUUGUACUUCAGGAAAUUCAUGAUACCAGUGAAUAGUUUCACGUGAGCAAAAUUCAGUGGCUUUUUGUAUGCAGCGUGGUUUACGUCAUUGUGCAUUGAAUAUAAUUUAAUUGAAGUUUUCAACUCAAAAUAUGAAAUGUGAUAUGUAUAAACAGAGGUUAUAACUACUUUUCUUGUUCUCAGAUUUUGGCAGGAACCGGUUGAAUGUGGGCUGCCAUGGAAUUUUCUUAUGAAGAGCAUCACAGCUCUUCAUAAAGAGAGAGAGAGCUCUUCAUAAAGCAUAAAGAGCUUCUUUAUUAUUCAGUCAAACAGUUGCUUGGGACUCUAGAUAACAUUCAAAUGGCACCUCAUUCUGAGAAGAUGAUACAAAUCCUGUGCUUUCUCUUCCUGGAAAUUUAGCUGUGUGUGAUUUGCAUUCACUUGGAUCAUAGGUUUUCAGGAGUCAACAUGGAAAAUGCCAAUGAGAUCGUCAAAUCUAUUCUACUUCUGAUGCUAAAUGAUCAGCUUUCAGAUCUGCUAUGUUUAGUGAUGAUAAGACUGAAAGAUUUAUGACCUUUGUUACACUGUUAGUGAUUGAGACUGAUCAUUAUACAAGAUAUUUUUGAUGUUUUUGUAGCUAUCUUUCUGUUAUCCUCUCUUCAAUAACAAUCUACAUUUUCUGACGUUUUGAGACCAAUUUGUUUUAAGGCACAAGCACUUUGCCUUUCAAAAGUUUAUACUCUGUUAUCUACAUUCUAGGUGAUACUCCUGGCUUCAGUGAUGACCAUUUAUGGCUGUUAGUUCUGAGUACUACAAUUAUUGGUAUGCCUUAAAACUUUUUUUUAAAGGGAUGUGACAUGUAACAGAAGUACUGAAACCUUUCCAACACUUGACUGGCUUGAACACUGAGCCUUUUUGGAUCAUGGAUUCUCACAGGUUCUUUUAAAUAAUAGAUUUUAGUGGCCGGUUUCAUACAUUAAUUGCUCUAUGCCACAAACAAGGACAGCAGGCAAACAAUCUUUUGUUCUAUUUCUCAAGAGUAGAUCGCUGUCUACACACCAGCAUGGUCUUCAAAAUCCUCAGUCAGAAGUGUUUUCUGCAAGGCAUUCAUACCUGAAUAAACAAAUCUUCAUGAAAUAAGCAUUAAUGACUAUUAAUAAUGAUUCAGCAAUUAUUAAUAAUGAUUUUAAGUCUUCUCAGUUUUACACUGGGCUAUUUUAGACCUUUAGACUCUUCUGACAACUCCUAGUAGUGUCAUUAACAACAGCUUUAAUAGAAAUAUGUGUAAAGGAAGAGUGAUUGAGGCAAAUCUAAGGCAAAUGUUUUUUUUUUCUGCCUCUGGUGGUUUUUGGUGCAGAUGUCUCAUCAUUUUACAGACUUCUGAACAAAACUUUUGAUCUUAAAUGUCAACAAGCAAAUACUACCCUUGGAAGGUACAGCAUACAAAGGGAGUAUGUCCCUUUCCAUGAAGGGUGCAGUUGCAGCAGUCAGGUGUGUUGAGUUCUAUGGAAUUUACACAAUGAAUUUUCCCUUCUUUGGGAUAUAGACACUUAGACUGGCAUGAAAUGUCAGUUUUUAGAAACAUAAGGUGAUUUAAAAUCCUACAGCUAUUUUUUUCCAAAUUCCAAAAUACCACUGUUAUAAUUACAAGGCCCAAAAUUGCCCGAUGAACUAAUAUUUAAAUAAAUUAUCUAGUUGCCCCUUAUGUGUAGGUUUAUAAAGAAGGGUAGAGGGUUAAGUGUUUAAGAAAAAAAAAAUUGUACCAAAAGCCAAAGAACUAAUUAAGUUUUUGGUUGAAUAUUGCAUUUCUCAUACUUCCUCUCUUCUUCUGCUCUUUUCUUUCAUCUUAAAUGACACUUUUCAAUUCCUUCCUCUCUUAUCCUUUAAGGCAUACCUCUCAAGACCUCCAGCUCUCACCCGUUUCCACUAUCAGCUGUUUCUGAGCCUCCUGUUUGCUAAUUGGCCAUCCAGUAUGUGUGUGAACUGGGUAGUGGUAGGUCAGAAAAAACAGAUCAGCAGCUUCUGAGACAAUAAUGUAUUGUUCCCGCAACAGUGCUGAAUGGAUAAGCAUUCACAUUGCAUAAAAUCAAUCUUGCAUGUGGUUCUAAUGAUUGAUUGUCUCAGCAGGGAGGCCGCAGUCUGAAUGGGCAAAUACAUGCAGCUCACCUCUUAACGGUGGUUUCUCCAAGAUACAUUUGAGUGCAUGGAAACAUAGGAAAGACUGUAGUGUUUGUGUUUAUGCUGUCUGCAGAACUGUAUAAUUCAGACUUUUACAUUUGGAGCUCUAAGACUAUAUUGCUGUAUGUUACACCAAAUGGAUAUAUAAACUAAAACAAUGGUAUCCCAGUAAGUGGAAAAGACUCCUAAGAGUUAAAUCCUACUGAAGAGGUAGUGUGGAGAGAGAAAAUGGGAAAACAAGAACAACAACAACCUCUCAGUUCAAGUCUUCAAAGGAUGUUGAUGUAAAUAGUAUCCUUUGUAAAGGUUAAUGAGAUGAGCUUCCUGUUCUGUCAGUACAGAUUGUAGCGUUUAUGCUACGUGUGCAGGUUUAUGCUUUUUUUUUCUUUUUAUCAAAAGGUAGAUUCUCAGUUUCUACACCCUGAUGAAACUGUACAAAAAAUGUGUCCCUAUGUCAUGGAGACCUAUGAAGAAAAGCACAGAGAACAGUGGGUGUUUGUCUGCUCAACCCAGGUUGAAGUUAUGGGUUCACAAAUCUGAUGGGUUUCAGAUAUACAAAUGGCAUUCUCUAGACUGGAAGAAGGCUUGGGUUAGCCCUGAAGGAUUACCACAAGCAACCGGUAUGGAUAUCUUCUUUUUGUUUAAUUCAGUGAAAAUGAUCUCAUGAAAAGACAUUAGAUUUUUAACCCUAUAGUAAAUGAAAUGCCAUUAGUAUGUACUGGGGAAAUAAAUAUGUCAUUUCUGUUAUCUCAUGGGUAUUUUUAUCACAUCUUGAUUACUGGAUUUUCCAUGGGUCCAUUCUGAACUGAGAUGAAAGAUAAAAGCAAAAAUACUGACAGAGUUCAGCCACGUCAGUGUAGCAAGAACAGUGUAUACAAGUACCACAUAUGCAUAUGUUAAACCCAUGCAUUUGUGUAAGGAAGCAGAAACUGUUGGUUUUUUUUGUGUCAAACCACUAUUUAAUUUAGACCUGCUUCAGAAGGGUAGCUUCUGCUAUGUGAAUUUUUCUUCAUCCUUGCUUACCUUCAUCUUCUUCCCAAUGCUUCUGUUCUGGUAUGAACAUUCUUUCUUUCUGUAAAAACUUUAAGUAGUUCUGUUUUUCUUUUCCAGUCUAGAGAAUCUGCCAAGUGGAUAAACAACAUGGGAAGGAGGCUCAUAAGGAGGAGAAUGCGUUACCUAAGAUUUAUUUACCUUUAUAGUUAUCUAAAAUUUAUCCCUAUAAUAUAAAAAGUGAACAAAGGUUAAUCUUUGUUCACUGUUUCUCACAAUACAAGCACUAAUAGUUGUUACCUGAAACUAUUAACCAGCAGGCUUAAACAAAAGAAACACUUUCACACAGUGUACAGUUCAAAAUACAGGACAUUUGGCUACAGAAUGACCAGUUAUUUUUUAAAAGGUUAAAUGAAGUGUCAAAUUUCCACCAAUGACAACUAAGUAUGAUGAUAAAACUGGUAGUGCGAUCUUGCGUAGGGAGUAUUUGGGUUACUGAUUCUUGUGUGGUUUUUUCUGUGUCAGGGUGGGGGUGGGGGGCGAUUGUUCUUUUUUUGGUUGACUUGAGGUCUUGCUUUGUUCGGUCAUUUUUAUUUUGGUAGCAGUGGUUAUUUUGUUUUAGUAAAUCCUGGCUGAUGUGCCAUGUUAUUCCCAGUGUAUCCAGCUCCUGGACUUGCUUCUUAUGUGCCUUUUUAAAAAUAUCUUCUAGCUCCUGUGAAAGACAGACUGAUGCAUAAUGUGCGGUAUGUGUGAUGUGGUGACGCUUCUGCAAGCAGAGUGCAGCGCUGUCCCACAUUGUCACUGUUUCCUGUCUGGAUGUUAUAUGUGCUGAGGACUUCUGGACAGGAUCUGUGGGUUAGAAAUGACCACCUGGUCCUCUGCAAAAGAGAAGUGGAGUUUUGGUGUGUUUUUGAAAAGUGGUCUUUAAUAUUUUGGGAUACUAGGCAAUUUCAUACAAAAUGCUGCUACUGGUGUAUCCCUUAUAAUUGCAUUGGUAUAUCAUCGUGAUUUGCUACAGAAAAAUAGGAAGCUCAGUGAAAUUACCUGCUGGCGAGCAGCAAGGUAUUACCUCUAAAUUUGAGGUUAUUAAAUGGAGUGCAGAUUACCCUUGAGCAUUCUGCAGUUCUUAUCAUGUCUUAAUUAUUCCAUCUUCAGUCUUUCAGUGUGCUUUCUUUCCUUUUAGAGGCAUAUACGUGAAUUUCCAGAACAAGGUACUCUUUCUGUGGUGACUAUAAGUGCAUACGUAUACAGUACUGAAUGCAUGCUUAAAUCAAAAUGCUCUCUCCAAGUAUAAUUAAAAUACAACUAAGGUGGCUGUCACAUACUACUGGUUUGAAUGCACACAAAGUAUCGCUAGAUGGGUAUUGAAAUAUGAAAUAAUUCUUAUUUCUCUUCUGACCUCCUGAGCCUCAGAUUUCUUCAAAAUACUUUUGUGCCUAAGAAAGCAUGUGAGGACAGGGCCUCCCUCCAGUGUUUCUCUAGCAAGAUUCACUACAGGAUGAGAAGCUCCAGUGACUCUAUUUUUUGCCAGAGAUUUUAUUUAUUACAAUUUCAUUCUAAAAUGGUGCAUAGAAAUUUGGUCAGGGGUUCUCAUGGCCUCAGGUAUAUGUGUACAGUCACAUCCUGUAGAUUAGUGUUACAGCUUACACCCUCUGACCCUCUGACACUGUUGGCUGCUAUUUAAAUGGAAACACUGAAGACACAUUGAUUUGAAAACUGUGAAAUGAAACAAAGUGGAUUUCUAAGAUGGCAUCAAGCCAAAAAGAAACUCAAGAAGCAAAAUCAGACUUGUUCUGGUAAAAGCAACAUCCAUUUCUAUGCAAAGACUGUAUGGUUCAUAAGGAUUUUGGCUUAAUAAGUUGUAAUGUACUCUUCUAUAAUCGCUCUAUUACAAAGAUCUUAUGUUACACUUCCAUCUGUAUAAAAUCACCGCUGCCUCAAGGUGAGUUUAAUCUUUUAUAAUUGAUUCUAGUAGUUACCACUCAUAAAUGGUGAGGAAUGAGGUAUGAAACCUACUGAUGACAGCUGCAGCUUUGUGAUGUGUCAUUGCUUUCAUCUGGGUAUCUCCUACAAGUCAUAAUGACUCUGCAAUGGCUUUUUAGGUCACCAGUUCAUGAGGUAUUGCUUGGCUGUCGCAUCUACACCAUAGAUGGGAUGAUGCCCAGAAACACUGUUUUGGCAUCAUUGGUAAUGUUCAGUUUCAGGACAUUUACGAGUACUUGAGAAAUACCCCUCGGCUAAUUCUUACACCUUUGACUGACAAGUAAUGAAUAUUGCUAAUAGCAGUGUCAGCUUUUUCUCUUUAGGUGAAUAAAAAAUUAAAUGCUCAGUGUUCUUUCAUACCUCAUAUGAAUUUUAUAAGGUUUUCUUAGAGCUGUUAUUGAGACAAAGUAUCUUUGAACAUGUGUAUGCUUGUAAGCGUGCGCACUUAAGUAGUACGUGAACUUAAUCUCUCUUAAUUUUAAAAAUAAGUUAAAUAUUUCUUGUGUAAUAUAAUGCAAAAAUUAUGGUUAAUAAUUUUUAAUUUUUUUUUAAUAAUUUAAUAAAAUAGUGGUUAAUCUGAAGAAGAGCGUGAAUGGAUCUAUACCAGGGUUACUUGGGAUUUUUCAGCAAAAUCUUCCCUUUUUUUUUUUCUUUUCCAAUAUGUUGAAAAUUCAAAAACCAGUACUUUUUCACACCACGUGCAACAAAGAUUUUUUUUCUGGAAUCUUUUUUGCUAGAAUCAGUGAUUCAAGAAGGUGCAUCCAUCAGUCCCAGCUGGCUUAGUAGUUACAACCCACAGACGGGAUAGACAAAUCCAAGAACCAACCCUAUAAAUAAGGCAAAGUAACAGCAAAUAUCCUCAAGUUUCCUGUCUUGUGUGACCACAGGUGAGAUAUUACUCCUUAAUUUAAAAAAAAAGUUGAUAUUUGGUUUACAUACAGAAGCUUUGUAAAGUGUGGUGCACAGCAAGCAAUUUCCCGCACUAUGCGACAGCCUGUUAUCUUUUUUUACAGUACACAUUUAUACUUCAUAUGCUAAGACUGAUCUUUCAAGGAAGAAAGUUUUGAAUGUAAGGAUCUGACUAUAUUUUCACACUAUAAUUGUGAAUCAAAAUGGUGUUCUGGGAGUGAAUAAGUUCCAUGUUUUUCCAUUGUGAUGGGCAGGAGAACAAUGCCAAUUUAUUCUAACAAAGUCUUAGAGUUGCAUAUCUAUAUCUAUGUGAUGAUGGUCUUUGUUUUAGUGCAGACUCUGUUAACACUUUUCACUGUUUUAAACAAGACUUGAGGAAAAUAUGAUUAUGUGAUUUAAUUUCUCAACAUAGUGAAGUUCAGUGGGGCAAGCUGCAGGGCAUCGUCAGGCUGUCUGAAGAAGUACAAGUAUGGAUUUGUUUUGUGGCAUUGCUUUUCUGCUUCAGAUGGGAGAACCAGGCAGCAGCAGGAAUGAGCUUUCUUGGUUUUGAGCCUAAAUUUGUAACAAGGAGUAAGCAACAUCUGCUUAGAAGAAGGAGGUUAAGAUUUGAAUUCAUGAGCCUCUGCAAAGACUGUCACUGAAAAGGCUGCCAUUAGUCCUCUCUUUACAACAUGCAAUGUGGGGAAAAGCACUGCUCCAGACAUAAGGAUUACAUUCCAUUCUUGUUACAUUCCUUACUCAUUUUUUCUGAGGAGAAACCUCCCUAAUCCGGAUGACCUUUGAGUCUUCAACCUUGGGAAUCCUUUCCAAGCUGUAACACAAUGCAAUACACCACAACAUAGAUACAGUAGUAGCUAGGCUACAUGGGAUGGAGCUGGCAAGUAAAGUUUGUUACAACAACCUGGGUAUCAUAGAAUCAUUAAGGUUGAAAAAGACCUCUAAGGUCAUCAGUCCAACUGUCAACCCACCACCAUCAUGCCCGGUAACUGUGUACCUCAGUGCCACAACUACACAGUUAUUGAAUGUCUCCAGGGAUGGUGACUCCAUCGCCCCCUGGAGGGUGUCAGCCUCCUGAAGUCUGUUCUAGUGCAUCACUGCUCCUUCUGAGAAGAAAUUUUUCUCACUAUACAGGUAAGACCAGUUAUAACUGAUCUUUUAAUGUCCUAUAGCUUAGUCUUAGCAAAGAUGGGAGGGACAAUGGCUUUCCCUACAGGUGUUUUUUGAAUCAUAUAAUUAAAAUGGUUUUGUUCUUAAAGUUUGAACUAAAGAUUAUGCUUAAAAAGUAAACAGUUAAACCUCUGAGGGCAAGCAAAUCCUUGUAAGUGUAUUAACAACCCUUAAAAGUGAAUUCCUUUUAGUAAUAAUCAUUUCAGCAAUGGUAGAGUAUUGUAAUGACUUCCAGCCCCUGCACAGCUCCUGCUGAUGUCUUUCAGUCAUUCACAGUGAAUAAUACUGCAGUAGAAUGUGCCUGCCCGAUGCUUCCUAGUACCUGUUUUACAAGCCCUACAUCUCUCAGCUGCUGCCUUUGUGUACAGUGAUGUUACUGAAUGCUGACAAUCAACUGUGUCUAAUUAUCUCCUUUUGCUUUGAAGUAAGGUCCUUGUUAGCUCUGACUGACGUUCUUAAUUGUAACUCUCUGAAGCUCUGUUUUAAAAAUGUUUGCACACAACAGUCAUUUUAUUUAAGUGACUUAUGUUUACCAUGUUUAAGUACUAAUCUGUGUAUCUGGAUUAUGGUGUUUGUUUUCUUCCUUAAACCCUGUGCCAUGGUUGCCCCUGACAUUGAACUGACCUAUGAAAUUAUGUUGGUUGCUGCGGGGUUUAUUGAUGCACGUCUGUUAGCCAGGAAGUUUAUUACCUCGUGUACUUUCCGCAGGGAACUACUCUCUAAACAGGCGAGGGUCUCUGAGCUUCUUGUUUUUCUACAUGUUAAUUAACACGUUCACUUGGAAACAGUGUACAUGGACACCAUAUAAUAAUUAUGAUGGUGGUUUUUGUUUAAGCGUACAAUCUUGUAUUUUUAUUUUGAAGACACUUGAAAUUGUAUAUCCAUCCUAUAUAUCAUCAUCAGUUAUAUCAGAUAUCAUCCAUUAUAUGAUCAGGUCAUCAGAUAUAAAUUUAAAAUGAAGUGCCUUUUUUUCUGCUCUUGGUACACUUGUAAUGUAUUAAUUUUGUGUUAAAAAUUGUACGUCAUUGAUUAGUACGAGGGAUGGCCGAACUAAUUUCUGUGAUUGUGUGGUAUCUGUAUUAGAAUUAAAGGUACUUCUUGGUAAGAGGAAGAACCUCAAGGGAGAUCAGAAACUGUCAUGUAUAACAAACAAUAUAUAAUGUCUGAAUGUAUUUUUGUUUAAACUUUUGUCAGUGAAUACGGUGAAGGAUUGUUUAAAAUUGAAACAAAACAUUGCUAAAUAAAUAUACUAGGAAGUAUUUUUAUUCAGAAUAUCUUAGAAACCUAUAACUUAUACGUCCUUUCCUUACCAAAUGUUUUUAGACUAGGCUGAGUAGUUAUCCAUGUCUCUUUGAUUUUUUGUGUUAGAUGCAAAAUAUGUUGCUAAUCUACCCAAUUUUCUAUUCAGGAAGCAAAAAAGUAUUGCUUAUAUCAGGUCAAAUGAGAUGUUUGGCAGCAAUUUUUCUGCUUGCCUUGUUUCAUCAUGGAGACAUAGUUGCAAUGAGUAAUAUUUGAAAAUACGGUGGAAGAGGUAGAAGAAUUUAGUUAAAUACAGCCUGUGGGAAAUGCUGAAAAUCUCUAAUAAAAAGCACAGCUUCCCAGAACAACUUGGCCUUUGUGAUCUCUUUGUGAUAGUUUCUACCCUACAGCCUUACUCCUGUGAUGGUAAAUUAAUAGAAGUGUCUUGAACCUGACAAGUAGGAAAAUACUGUUUUUUUUUGAGAGGGCACCCUGACAUCUGAAACCUGCAUCUAUUAUAUUCUCUGAAGAAGAAGGAAGGAGAUACAUUGCAUCUUUCUUCAUCACUAGAAGAACUGUGUGUGGCCUGCUUCUGAAAUCCAUCCCUCCAUUUGGUUUUUGUAAUGAUAUUUGUUUGUGUAAGAUUGUCACCAGAGGAACCAAAGCUGAAAUGGGUCCAAAAGUUCAUGAAAUCACAUUCUCACAGUAUUGUCCUAGGUCUUUUAUCUUCUGGUGCACGUUUUGCCAUAUAAGAAUGCAGGUGCGUUAUUAAAAAUUAAAUAGAUAUAUAUUUUUCACCCUUUUAGACUUUUGCCUUACUUAUGAUGCUGACCUCAAGCCUAUAAAAAGGGGAAUAAAGGUGUUACUUUAUGUGUAAAUUGAACAUUGUCUUCUGACUAUUUACUACCUGGUUUCUCUUCAUAUGCUAACAUGACUCAUUAAAAUGUUUUCCCAGUGCCACUGUGACUGGGGACUUUGUCAGUUCCGACAGCUGCUGGUUCACUGAAAGGAGGAGACAAGAACAGCCCUGAGGACCAAGUGCAACCUUCACUUGGAAGGUGCAGGAGUAGCUGUUCCUGGUGUUCUGUCUUGGAAUAAAAACAAAUUCCUAAAAAGAAAAUGGUUUAAUGCUCUUGUAAUCUGUGGUUUGCAUCCUUGUCCAGGUGUUUAUGCAAGCUUUAAGAGAUUUCACUUUGCCUAAAAUGUUGACAGAUGAUAACCCAAUUUUCAUGGGCCUAACCAGUGACCUGUUUCAAGUUCUGGAUGUCCUGAGAAAGAAGAACCUGCAAUUUGAACAGAUGGCUGAACAAUCUACCCUAGAGUUUCACUUGUAGCCUGAAGAGAUCUUAAUUCUCAAGGAAUCAAAAACAUCUACGGCAAGUCAAAACUGCAGUGGAACAAGGUAUUCAGGUGUCACUACGCAAGUGCCACUCCCACUGCCUACGAGAACUCUUGAACGUGUUGCCCUUUAAAAAAAAAAUCAAGGUAGAUGUUGCCAGUUUGUGCAUCAAGACCGGUGCCAAGAACAUGCCCACAGUGUUUUUGCUGACAGAUGCCCAAGUUCCAGAUGAACGCUUUCUUGUGCUGAUUAAUGACUUGUUGGCAUCAGGUAUUUGUAGGGGAAGCCUUUAGAGAAGCUAAAUCAACCCAGCCAGCUUGAGCACAGAGUCUAACUUGCUUAACAAAACACAGAGGAGACAAAUUGCUAAGGCUCAUCAUGCGAGAUGUUCCUGAUCUGUUCACUGAUGAAGAUGUGGAGGGCAAAGUUGCAGGAGUCAGAAGAGUCAGAAAAGAAGUCCCUGACCUGGGCGUGAUGAACACCACUUUCUAGCUGAUGGAGGUUCUUCUUUGGUUGAAUGCAGUA